GUUUCGGUUUCCUACAUGCUCUUCGAGAUAUUUGAAGAGUACAGGCGGAGACAGAAUGUUCUUCGUCCGUAACUAUAAAAGUAAUAACUUGUGGCAUACAGUUACCUAUUAUUUAACGUGAUUGCGACGAGACAGUUUUGCUUGGCAUGCUCAUGAUGUACGUUGAUUGGCUGCUGUCAACGAUUUCCUCUUACGAUCAACGACAUUCUGAGUGUAUUGCAUCAACGUUUCAUGCGAUAUCACCUGAGUUUGAUUCGAUGUACAAUUUUCGAAAAACAUCCGUUUACGCUUUCCGGUUCUAUUAUCGCAAAAGCAUCUUGAAAGAAAAUGAACUUAACAAAAGAUGAAAGUAAAGACUUGGAUUUUCUAAACGAGAUCAACUGGAUUACUGUACGACGUUCAAGAAUUUAUGACGCUUUAAAUGCGUAAGUUAAUGAAUACUAUUUUAAGUCUUACAUCGUUCACGAUGAAAGUGAAAUAAAAAUUCUUGUAACGAGUAA